CACGUCAGCUAGCUCUCUGCAACUCCCCUACUGAAGCUAAGCAGGGCUGCGCCCGGUCAGUACCUCGAUGGGAGACCACAUGGGAAAGCUAGGUUGCUGCCGGAA
rnacentral:rRNA from 1 species